rnacentral:piRNA from 1 species
GUGGUGAUGACGCUUAACGAGCAUGCUGCC